GAAAGCGUGUAACUUUGGCCUAAUAAUGAACUUUUCAUGGCGAAGAAGAAAUACACGAACUAACUGGCCACUUCAGAGACGCUGUCAGUAUCGGUUCUGUUUGCUCCAAGCCAAGUCAGAGUGAAAACCCUGUUAUGCUGUAAGUCUAAAUCAAUGGCCGUUAUCUCUUGGCAUGAAUCGAAUGGCAAAUUCGAUUCAAAUGAGGAACAAUUUAAGAUCCAGAUGUGGGCUCCCCGGUGAAUGUCUUUGCAUAGAGAGAGAGGGAAGGAAACAUUCAAGAUUCUGGAUGAGGGACAGAGCGGAUGGAGAAGGGGAAAGGCUGGAUACAAAGGGAGAGAGAGGGAGCAUCCCUCCUGCUGUACCCACCUGCCCCCCUGCAUAUGCCGGAAAAAUGAGAAUAGAUUGGCCCAUCCGUGGAUGGUGCCAGGUGGCAUUUAGACCCCCGAGAAGAUAUGUGUGCAGUCUAUCUACCUCACAGUGA
rnacentral:lncRNA from 12 species